rnacentral:rRNA from 1 species
UACGGAGGAUCCGAGCGUUAUCCGGAUUUAUUGGGUUUAAAGGGAGCGUAGGUGGAUUGUUAAGUCAGUUGUGAAAGUUUGCGGCUCAACCGUAAAAUUGCAGUUGAAACUGGCAGUCUUGAGUACAGUAGAGGUGGGCGGAAUUCGUAGUGUAGCGGUGAAAUGCUUAGAUAUCACGAAGAACUCCGAUUGCGAAGGCAGCUCACUGGACUGCAACUGACACUGAGGCUCGAAAGUGUGGGUAUCAAACAGG